AUUUACAUUUGAGUGAGUGGCGAACUGGUGAGUAACACGUGGGAAACCUGCCCAGAAGCGGGGGAUAACACCUGGAAACAGAUGCUAAUACCGCAUAACAACUUGGACCGCAUGGUCCGAGCUUGAAAGAUGGCUUCGGCUAUCACUUUUGGAUGGUCCCGCGGCGUAUUAGCUAGAUGGUGGGGUAACGGCUCACCAUGGCAAUGAUACGUAGCCGACCUGAGAGGGUAAUCGGCCACAUUGGGACUGAGACACGGCCCAAACUCCUACGGGAGGCAGCAGUAGGGAAUCUUCCACAAUGGACGAAAGUCUGAUGGAGCAACGCCGCGUGAGUGAAGAAGGGUUUCGGCUCGUAAAACUCUGUUGUUAAAGAAGAACAUAUCUGAGAGUAACUGUUCAGGUAUUGACGGUAUUUAACCAGAAAGCCACGGCUAACUACGUGCCAGCAGCCGCGGUAAUACGUAGGUGGCAAGCGUUGUCCGGAUUUAUUGGGCGUAAAGCGAGCGCAGGCGGUUUUUUAAGUCUGAUGUGAAAGCCUUCGGCUCAACCGAAGAAGUGCAUCGGAAACUGGGAAACUUGAGUGCAGAAGAGGACAGUGGAACUCCAUGUGUAGCGGUGAAAUGCGUAGAUAUAUGGAAGAACACCAGUGGCGAAGGCGGCUGUCUGGUCUGUAACUGACGCUGAGGCUCGAAAGUAUGGGUAGCAAACAGGAUUAAGAUACCCCUGGUAGUCCCAUACCGUAAACGAUGAAUGCUAA
rnacentral:rRNA from 1 species